UAGGGAAUCUUCCGCAAUGGACGAAAGUCUGACGGAGCAACGCCGCGUGAGUGAAGAAGGAUUUCGGUUCGUAAAACUCUGUUGUUAGGGAAGAAAAAAUGUAUAGUAACUAUAUACAAAAGAGACGGUACCUAACCAGAAAGCCACGGCUAACUACGUGCCAGCAGCCGCGGUAAUACGUAGGUGGCAAGCGUUGUCCGGAAUUAUUGGGCGUAAAGCGCGCGCAGGUGGUUUAGAAAGUCUGAUGUGAAAGCCCACGGCUCAACCGUGAAGGGUCAUUGGAAACUAAUAAACUUGAGUGCAGGAGAGAAAAGUGGAAUUCCUAGUGUAGCGGUGAAAUGCGUAGAGAUUAGGAGGAACACCGGUGGCGAAAGCGGCUUUUUGGCCUGCAACUGACACUGAGGCGCGAAAGCGUGGGGAGCAAACAGG
rnacentral:rRNA from 1 species